rnacentral:rRNA from 1 species
CAGCCGCCGCGGUAAUACGUAGGGUGCGAGCGUUAAUCGGAAUUACUGUGCGUAAAGCGUGCGCAGGCGGUUGUGUAAGACAGGUGUGAAAUCCCCGGGCUUAACCUGGGAACUGCGCUUGUGACUGCACAGCUAGAGUAUGGCAGAGGGGGGUGGAAUUCCACGUGUAGCAGUGAAAUGCGUAGAGAUGUGGAGGAACACCGAUGGCGAAGGCAGCCCCCUGGGCCAAUACUGACGCUCAUGCACGAAAGCGUGGGGAGCAAACAGGAUUAGAUACCCCCGUGUCCCUGUCUCUUAUACC